rnacentral:rRNA from 1 species
GAAAGAUUUAUUGGUAUAGGAGGAGUCUGCGGCACAUUAGCUAGUAGGUGAGGUAGAGGCUUACCUAGGCGACGAUGUGUAGCCGGUCUGAGAGGAUGAACGGCCACAAUGGAACUGAGACACGGUCCAUACUCCUACGGGAGGCAGCAGUGGGGAAUAUUGCACAAUGGGGGAAACCCUGAUGCAGCAACGCCGCGUGAGUGAAGAAGGUUUUCGGAUUGUAAAGCUCUGUUAGCAGGGAAGAGGAAGGACGGUACCUGCAGAGGAAGCCACGGCUAACUACGUGCCAGCAGCCGCGGUAAUACGUAGGUGGCAAGCGUUGUUCGGAAUAACUGGGCGUAAAGGAUGCGUAGGCGGUUAAACAAGUUAUAUGUUAAAUAUAUAGGCUUAACCUGUAGAAAGCAUAUAAAACUGUUUAACUAGAGUGCAGGAGAGGUAAGUGGAAUUCCUAGUGUAGCGGUGAAAUGCGUAGAGAUUAGGAAGAACACCAGUGGCGAAGGCGACUUACUGGACUGUAACUGACGCUGAGGCAUGAGAGCAUGGGGAGCAAACAGGAUUAGAUACCCUGGUAGUCCAUGCUGUAAACGAUGGGUACUAGGUGUGGGUUGUGAAUAACAAUUC